UACGGCCCAGACUCCUACGGGAGGCAGCAGUGGGGAAUUUUGGACAAUGGGCGCAAGCCUGAUCCAGCAAUGCCGCGUGAGUGAAGAAGGCCUUCGGGUUGUAAAGCUCUUUUGUCAGGGAAGAAACGGUGGAGGUUAAUACCUUCUGCUAAUGACGGUACCUGAAGAAUAAGCACCGGCUAACUACGUGCCAGCAGCCGCGGUAAUACGUAGGGUGCAAGCGUUAAUCGGAAUUACUGGGCGUAAAGCGUGCGCAGGCGGUUGUGCAAGACAGAUGUGAAAUCCCCGGGCUCAACCUGGGAAUUGCAUUUGUGACUGUACGGCUAGAGUGUGUCAGAGGGGGGUAGAAUUCCACGUGUAGCAGUGAAAUGCGUAGAGAUGUGGAGGAAUACCGAUGGCGAAGGCAGCCCCCUGGGAUAACACUGACGCUCAUGCACGAAAGCGUGGGGAGCAAACAGGAUUAGAUACCCUGGUAGUCCACGCCCUAAACGAUGUCUACUAGUUGUCGGGUCUUUAUUGACUUGGUAACGCAGCUAACGCGUGAAGUAGACCGCCUGGGGAGUACGGUCGCAAGNUUAAAACUCAAAGGAAUUGACGGAA
rnacentral:rRNA from 1 species